rnacentral:rRNA from 2 species
AGAGUUUGAUCCUGGCUCAGGACGAACGCUGGCGGCGUGCCUAAUACAUGCAAGUCGAGCGAAUCUGAUGGGAGCUUGCUCCCUGAUGAUUAGCGGCGGACGGGUGAGUAACACGUGGGUAACCUGCCUGUAAGACUGGGAUAACUCCGGGAAACCGGGGCUAAUACCGGAUAACUUUUUUCUUCGCAUGAGGGAGAAUUGAAAGAUGGCUUCGGCUAUCACUUACAGAUGGACCCGCGGCGCAUUAGCUAGUUGGUGAGGUAACGGCUCACCAAGGCGACGAUGCGUAGCCGACUUGAGAGGGUGAUCGGCCACACUGGGACUGAGACACGGCCCAGACUCCUACGGGAGGCAGCAGUAGGGAAUCUUCCGCAAUGGACGAAAGUCUGACGGAGCAACGCCGCGUGAGUGAUGAAGGUUUUCGGAUCGUAAAACUCUGUUGUUAGGGAAGAACAAGUAUCGUUCGAAU